CUGUCGCUCACUACCGCCUCCUUGGAACACGUGUCUCCCAGAACCGCCCCUGCGUAGGCUUCCAACUACGUGUUUCCUCCUUGCACCAAAGGACAAUACUGACUCGGGGCUUGAAAACCAAUCACAGAAAUCUACCACCAUUGUUUUCUACUCUCAUGAUUACUUCAUGACCAAAGAUGGCUGCUAGUGGUCCAGCCAUCUUGUCUGAGUCCCAGGCAAGACUAAAGAAGAGAGCGAAGACUAAAGAAGAGAGGGAAAUCUAAAGGAAAGGAAUGUGCCAGCAGACUCUUCUCAUUUACAGAAGCCUUCCUUCCUACUGGAAUAUAAACCUGGAGAGAGCCAGUUUCAACCAUGUGGAUGAAGACAAUACCCAGGGAGAUGAUAAGCAAAGAGAUGGAAGAAACCCAGUGUCUGAAUGAAACCCAGGCCUCUGCUUUCACGGAGCAGAGCCCCCUAGGCCUGCUGUAGUCCUCUUACCCAAGACUUAUGAAAUAGAAAUAAACUUCUUAUUUAAGUAACUACA